GAUGAACGCUGGCGGCGUGCCUAAUACAUGCAAGUCGAGCGAACAGAUAAGGAGCUUGCUCCUUUGACGUUAGCGGCGGACGGGUGAGUAACACGUGGGUAACCUACCUAUAAGACUGGGAUAACUUCGGGAAACCGGAGCUAAUACCGGAUAACAUUUGGAACCGCAUGGCUCUAAAGUGAAAGAUGGUUUUGCUAUCACUUAUAGAUGGACCCGCGCCGUAUUAGCUAGUUGGUAAGGUAACGGCUUACCAAGGCAACGAUACGUAGCCGACCUGAGAGGGUGAUCGGCCACACUGGAACUGAGACACGGUCCAGACUCCUACGGGAGGCAGCAGUAGGGAAUCUUCCGCAAUGGGCGAAAGCCUGACGGAGCAACGCCGCGUGAGUGAUGAAGGGUUUCGGCUCGUAAAACUCUGUUAUUAGGGAAGAACAAAUGUGUAAGUAACUGUGCACGUCUUGACGGUACCUAAUCAGAAAGCCACGGCUAACUACGUG
rnacentral:rRNA from 1 species